rnacentral:rRNA from 1 species
GGCGAACGGGUGAGUAACACGUAGGGAACCUGCCCGCGCACCGGGAAUACGCUCUGGAAACGGAGAACAAAUCCCGAUGUACAGGAAGGAGGCAUCUUCUUUCUGUGAAACAUCCUGUAAGGGAUGGGGCGCGGAUGGACCUGCGGUGCAUUAGCUAGUCGGCGGGGUAACGGCCCACCGAGGCGACGAUGCGUAGGGGUUCUGAGAGGAAGGUCCCCCACACUGGUACUGAGACACGGACCAGACUCCUACGGGAGGCAGCAGUGAGGAAUAUUGGUCAAUGGGCGCGAGUCUGAACCAGCCAAGUCGCGUGAGGGAUGACGGUCCUACGGAUUGUAAACCUCUUUUGCCGGGGAGCAAGCGUGCGUUCGUGAACGCGCGUCGAGAGUACCCGGAGAAAAAGCAUCGGCUAACUCCGUGCCAGCAGCCGCGGUAAUACGGAGGAUGCGAGCGUUAUCCGGAUUUAUUGGGUUUAAAGGGUGCGUAGGCGGGAUGCCAAGUCAGCGGUAAAAAAGCGGUGCUCAACGCCGUCGAGCCGUUGAAACUGGCGUUCUUGAGUGGGCGAGAAGUAUGCGGAAUGCGUGGUGUAGCGGUGAAAUGCAUAGAUAUCACGCAGAACUCCGAUUGCGAAGGCAGCAUACCGGCGCCCUACUGACGCUGAGGCACGAAAGCGUGGGUAUCGAACAGGAUUAGAUACCCUGGUAGUCCACGCAGUAAACGAUGAAUGCUAACUGUCCGGUGCGAGUGAGCGCUGGGCGGUACAGCGAAAGCGUUAAGCAUUCCACCUGGGGAGUACGCCGGCAACGGUGAAACUCAAAGGAAUUGACGGGGGCCCGCACAAGCGGAGGAACAUGUGGUUUAAUUCGAUGAUACGCGAGGAACCUUACCCGGGCUCAAACGCAGGAUGACGGGUCCCGAAAGGGGUCUUUCUUCGGACAUUCUGCGAGGUGCUGCAUGGUUGUCGUCAGCUCGUGCCGUGAGGUGUCGGCUUAAGUGCCAUAACGAGCGCAACCCCUACCGACAGUUGCUAACUGGUGAAGCAGAGGACUCUGUCGGGACUGCCGGCGCAAGCUGCGAGGAAGGCGGGGAUGACGUCAAAUCAGCACGGCCCUUACGUCCGGGGCGACACACGUGUUACAAUGGCAGGUACAGCGGGAAGCCACCGGGCGACCGGGCGCGGAACCCGAAAACCUGUCUCAGUUCGGAUCGGAGUCUGCAACCCGACUCCGUGAAGCUGGAUUCGCUAGUAAUCGCGGAUCAGCAUGCCGCGGUGAAUACGUUCCCGGGCCUUGUACACACCGCCCGUCAAG